rnacentral:tRNA from 1 species
GGCUAGAUAGCAAAGUGGUUAUGCAUGGGAUUGCAAAUCCUUUUACAUUGGUUCAAAUCCAAUUCUAGCUU